GCUGCGUUGUCCGAGUGGUCUAAGGAGGACGACUUAAGAUCGUUUCUGCAUUCGCAGGCAUGGGUUCGAACCCCAUACGCAGCA
rnacentral:tRNA from 1 species